ensembl:lncRNA
GUUGGACUGGGUGAUCCCGUGGGUCUUUUCCAACCUUGGUGAUUCUACGAUUCUACGAAGAAAUAGUGUUGCGGAGUAAGCAGGGAUUCAGAAACAUUUCAUCUUCCUUUUGUGGUAGCUUCCUCAGCCCAUUUAGUUUUGUAAUUCACAUCUUAUCACUUGUGCAGGAGAUUAGUUGCUAUUCUAGCAGUAUUGCACUGUGCUGUCACGUUAUCAUAACUCUUUGUGCUGUCAGAUGCUAAUCUUCCUGUCCUGAAAGCUUCCCACAAUCUGGGACAUUAACUGCAUGCUUUAUGUUCCAGUUAUCUUUACCUUAACUAAACUCUAUGUGUUGUUACAGAUCUAGUAGAUAUUUGCCUGGCAUCUCUUGGGCCUGCAGAGAAGAAUACAAUGAAGGCAAAGAAGUCUUCUAGGAAUGCAUGAGGAGCAUGCUGUUCUUCAUAAAACUCAACCUGAACACGUACUUCUGUGUUUAUUCUCUUCACUCUCUUCCUGACACCUGAAUGACUGGAUCCUGGCAGCACAUAUUUUUAACAGUUCAUCCAUUUUUUAAUGUAGAAAACAGUGUAUAAGGAUUUAUACGGAGGCCUUGAGAUGACUCAACUAUUGGCUUGCAUCUCUGCAGCAGAAGGCUGUGGUUUCCAUUUCCACCUCAUGUACUAGGCUCAUACCCAAUGCUUGGCACUGUAUUUCAGUGACAGGGGGUGUCGCAUCGUGGGAGAUGUCAUCCCAAAGAUGACAUGAUGAACUCAUCUCUAUUGUUUCUCCAUCUGGAAAUGAAAACUCCAAGGAAUUCUUCAGAAAGAGCGGGAGUUUACCUUACGGCCCCACCAAUCAUUCCUACAAUUGUUCCCAUGACAGUGCGUGUGUGAGAUGUUGUUCAAGUACAUGACAGCUAUGUUUCUGCCUGAAGAGUUUUUGCAGCAUCACUGCCUACACCAUUUCCAUCAGCGCGCUGCAUCUGUUGUGCCAUUUGUAAAACACGGACAUCUCUAUUUACAGAGCAGGAUUUUUUCUUCUGUG